rnacentral:lncRNA from 1 species
GGCACACACGUAGUUCUUUCUUACACCAGUUCUGCAAAACCCAGGACAAGAAGACUCGUCAAUCACCAGGUCCUGGUAUUCAUGCUUUUGUGUAGUUUCCUCCCACACUGAAUUAAGCUGACCUGUGUAACUCACAAGACAUUGCAGGAAUGACGGUGUGUGUGCUCAGGCUGAACAUAAAAGACUCUGAGACUUCUGCCUUGCCCUCUUGUAGCACUCUCCAGGAAAAGCUGCCUGCUAGAUAACAUGAAGACACGCCAGCAGCCUCAUGGGGGUGGAGGGAAGAGAGGCCUCAUGGUGAGGGACUGAGGCCUCCUACUAAAAGCCAGCACUAACUUGUCAGGCAUGAAAGUGAGCCACCUGGAAGCACAUCUUCAGCCCCUGUGGACCCUUUAGAUGACUGCAGGCCCUGCUGACAUCUUGACUGAAACCUCAUGAGACAGCUAGAACCAGAAUCGCCCAGAGAGAAGAACAUCAAAGGUGCGGGUUUAGGGCCCAGAAAGCCACUGGCCCCUUAAUAUCCAGAAAAGGACAAAAACUCACGGGAGUCAAGCACUGUUUGCCUGGAAGAAGAAAGAUAAAGACACAGACAAGCCCUGCUCCCCCACCAGCCAAAACUACUAUUCUACCUGUUUCCUGAUUCUGACCCAC